rnacentral:lncRNA from 10 species
CAACGGGGCACACAUUGCAAAGCAUGCAUCUCUCCGACUUUGUCUUCAGGGGCCCGCGUGCCCGCCCCAGAAGCAUCUUCAGUUCCCAGUGUCUGUGUGUCCUUCCAGGGAGUAGCUUAGGAACACACAAGCAGAAAUGCACAGAUAGAAAUACAUAUUCCUCAAAAGAUCAGCGGGAGGGGCCUUCAUGGGUCUCCUGCACCCACUUGGCUUGAAAAAUUCUCUCAAACCGUCACCCCAGUCUCAUCAUGAGAAAAACAUCAGACCAAUCCCAAUGCAGGCGCAUCCUGCAGCUCCGUGACCAGCAAGCCUCGAAACUGUCAAGGUCACCUGCCUCGAAACUGUCAAGGUCAUCAAAUCAAAACCAAGAGCACACAAUUUAACCCAGGACAGCAGGGAGACAGCACCCCAGGCCGAGUGAAGGGGAGGACCGCACAGGCAAACGCUGGCCUGGCGAGGCACCAGAGGCUGUAGAGGAAAGCGCCUCCCACCUGUGAGAUGCCAACAAGAUACCCAGGGUCUGAAGAGUCUUAAAAGAAAAGCAAGGAGCGGGGGUAUGAUAUCCGACCAAAGAGCAAACGCCCGAGCCACUUGGCACUGCACUCUAACUGGGAGGCUGAGCACACAAAUUAGAUGUUUGUAAGAAUAAACAGUCAUUAGAACUCGAGAACUAGAGGAGAAAUAAACAUCAUUUCAAGAUAUUUGACUAAUUUGGCUCUGAGCUCUGCCUGCCUGUGAAUGUGCUGGUUUCUGGCUUGCGGGGAUGCCUGUGUAUCUGUGCAUGCUUCUUGUUAGCCCUCUUGGUUACGUGUCCUUACUGAGUGCCAAAGUCUCCUCUGUAAAAUGGGGAUAACAGCAACACCCAACUCAAGGGUGUUGGGAGAGUGGAACAAGGAAAUACACACAAAUUGAUUAAAACAGAGCCUGGCACCUAUAGUAAGUGCUCAAGAAAUGUGAGCAAUACUCUACAUUUGCUCACAUAUUCAUUCGUUCAGCAAAUAUGCAGAGGGUCCCAGCCAGGGGAGGCCCUGUUCCUAGUGUUAGGGAUCAAAAGACAGUGAGAUUCCUCGUGCCAGCUGAUGCCAGGCACACGGUGGGCGCCCAGGAACAGAUUUUUGAAGAAUGAAUGUAUGGGGCAUGGACUUUGCCUUCAAGAGCUGUGGCCUGGGGAGGAGACAGACUUGUAAAUAAAUCACUGCAAACACUGUCAUGAUAAAUGCAAAGCAGUUCCAGCUAUAAAUUUCACCUAAAGUACAGUAAAAGGACCGGCCCUGAUGGUGGAAUUUCAGAGACAGAGGCCAAGGCAGGGAACAGUGCUGCGGGAAUGAGGCCCUCUUAGAUGCUUUGAAAUUGUACCAGGAAGACCACAGCCCCUGAACCCAGUUCAGAGUGGAGACAGCAGGGCAGGGAAGCCCUCACACCGUGGAUGAUGACAGGUACACACUUUGGAGGACUCAGGCCACUGGGCUGGAUGACCCUGGCCAUCCCCCUGCCUCAGGGCCCAUGGCCC